AGCGAACGCUGGCGGCAGGCCUAACACAUGCAAGUCGAACGGAUCCUUCGGGAUUAGUGGCGGACGGGUGAGUAACACGUGGGAACGUGCCCUUUGGUUCGGAACAACUCAGGGAAACUUGAGCUAAUACCGGAUGUGCCCUUCGGGGGAAAGAUUUAUCGCCAUUGGAGCGGCCCGCGUCUGAUUAGCUAGUUUGUGAGGUAAAGGCUCACCAAGGCGACGAUCAGUAGCUGGUCUGAGAGGAUGAUCAGCCACAUUGGGACUGAGACACGGCCCAAACUCCUACGGGAGGCAGCAGUGGUGAAUCUUGCGCAAUGGGCGAAAGCCUGACGCAGCCAUGCCGCGUGAAUGAUGAAGGUCUUAGGAUUGUAAAAUUCUUUCACCGGGGACGAUAAUGACGGUACCCGGAGAAGAAGCCCCGGCUAACUUCGUGCCAGCCGCCGCAGUAACAC
rnacentral:rRNA from 1 species